rnacentral:rRNA from 1 species
GAUGAACGCUGACAGAAUGCUUAACACAUGCAAGUCUACUUGAAUUUGGGUUUUUUCACUUAGAUUUGGGUGGCGGACGGGUGAGUAACGCGUAAAGAACUUGCCUCACAGCUAGGGACAACAUUUGGAAACGAAUGCUAAUACCUGAUAUUAUGAUUAUAAGGCAUCUUAGAAUUAUGAAAGCUAUAUGCGCUGUGAGAGAGCUUUGCGUCCCAUUAGCUAGUUGGAGAGGUAACGGCUCACCAAGGCGAUGAUGGGUAGCCGGCCUGAGAGGGUGAACGGCCACAAGGGGACUGAGACACGGCCCUUACUCCUACGGGAGGCAGCAGUGGGGAAUAUUGGACAAUGGACCAAGAGUCUGAUCCAGCAAUUCUGUGUGCACGAUGACGUUUUUCGGAAUGUAAAGUGCUUUCAGUUGGGAAGAAAAAAAUGACGGUACCAACAGAGGAAGUGACGGCUAAAUACGUG